GAUGAACGCUGGCGGCGUGCCCAAUACAUGCAAGUCGAGCGAACAGACGAGGAGCUUGCUCCUUUGACGUUAGCGGCGGACGGGUGAGUAACACGUAGGUAACCUACCUAUAAGACUGGGAUAACUUCGGGAAACCGGAGCUAAUACCGGAUAAUAUUUCGAACCGCAUGGUUCGAUAGUGAAAGAUGGCUUUGCUAUCACUUAUAGAUGGACCUGCGCCGUAUUAGCUAGUUGGUAAGGUAACGGCUUACCAAGGCAACGAUACGUAGCCGACCGGGGAGGGUGAUCGGCCACACUGGAACGGAGACACGGUCCAGACUCCUACGGGAAGCAGCAGUAGGGAAUCUUCCGCAAUGGGCGAAAGCCUGACGGAGCAACGCCGCGUGAGUGAUGAAGGUCUUCGGAUCGUAAAACUCUGUUAUUAGGGAAGAACAAACGUGUAAGUAACUGUGCACGUCUUGACGGUACCUAAUCAGAAAGCCACGGCUAACUACGUGCCAGCAGCCGCGGUAA
rnacentral:rRNA from 1 species